CGGAGAGGGACGGUGUCCUCCAGGACUCCGGGACACAGUGGCGCCUGUGCGGAGAGGGACGGUGUCCUCCAGGACACAGUGGCACCUGUGCGGAGAGGGACGGUGUCCUCCAGGACACAGUGGCGCCUGUGCGGAGAGGGACGGUGUCCUCCAGGACGCAGUGGCGCCUGUGCGGAGGGGGACGGUGUCCUCCAGGACUCCGGGACGCAGUGGCGCCUGUGAGAAGCCUCCAAAGUCUCGAGAAUGUGGUACGUAGGGCCGUAUCUUUGCUACUCGUUGCCCAGUGGUGCUCAGGACCACGUGCCCUCAGGAAGUCCGGCCAAGUGACGCUGGCCGAGAAGCAGUGCUGCCGACGGUGCUGACGUGCGGUACUUAAUGAGAAGUUGCCCGUGUUGUUUUCGCUUUAUUUGUGACGAAACAUUCGCGGUGCACUUCUUUUUCAGUAUCCUAUUCCGCCUGGAAGACGUCUUGGUUCGGGUGCCAAGUUCAGGCAAGGCACAUGGGCCCCUGCAGUACAUGCUGGUCAGGACUUCCCCACCCCGUGUCUUUUCUCCCUCCCUCAAUUUUCCCUGGUUUUUCUUGUGAAAGCUCCCUCUCCCUGCCGUGGGCUUAGCUUGCAUUGACCCUUCCCCACUUCCUCCACCAGCCCGGGCUUUAGUGAAUCUCUUGAUCUCUUCUUUGCCACUGUAAUUGCUUCGAGGAGGGGCCCUUGAUACCACCGGGCCAGUGAGAUGCAAGGAGAUGUUUGCUGGAGCUUCUGGGAAAGAAACUCUCUGUCCCUUUCCUAUGAUAGCUUCAGCUGGGAAUAGAGGGAGCUUCAAUGGAAGUUUUGAAGGUCCCGCAGCCAUCUAAGGACUAAGAGGAGCCCGCUUGGUGCCACACAGACAAGGAAGACGGAGUCUGCAGCAUGAAAGACAUCUCGGAGAGCUGCAGGAGAGUCUGGAUGAUAUCAUUUGAGUCCCUAGAUCAAACCGUGCCUGAAGCUUGCUCUGCCUCUGUACUUUUCAGUUAUGUAAGUCUAUACAUCCCUUACUUUUUAAAGCCAGUUUGAGUUAGAUUUUACCUUAUUUGCCAUACAAACAGAUGACACCACAGUGUGUUUUCCAGCAUGACUGGGAAAACCUGCAUUUUUUUGAUGAUGUAUUUCUCAUGGUUUGCCUGUCUAUCUUCAGCUUCCAGUUUAAGGCAGGGUCUCAGUGAAAGGUGACUUUUCUUGCUGGCUGGGCGUGGUGGCUCACGCCUUUAAUCCCAGCACUUUGGGAGACCGAGGCGGGUAAAUCAUGAGGUCAAGAGUUCAAGAUUAGCCUGGCCAACAUGGUGAAACCUGUCUCUGCUAAAAAAAUACAAAAAAAUUAGCUGGGAAUGGUAGCGCAAUACCUGUAGUCCCAGCUACUUGGGAGGCUGAGGCAGGAGAAUCACUUGAACACAGGAGGUGGAGGUUGCAAGGAGCCAAGAUCGCGACAUUGCACUCCAGCUUGGGCAGCAGAGUGAGACUUCAUCUCAGGGGGGUAAAAAGGUGCCUUUCCUUAUGGAUGUCUGCUUUCAAAACUUGUCCUGGUGAUUUGAUUUAUGGUUGACAAAUGAUGCAGAAUUACUGUGUUUCUGUGUUUUGUAUCCAGUGACGGGUCAUGGGGUCCUCUCCAGCGGCCUGAAGGAUGGUGGGCCCCGAAACUUCUGUGCUGCUUUACUCCCUCGAACCCACCUCCUCCUGGGAGGCCACCCUGCAAGUGAUGGGAACUUGGGGAAGCUAUUGUCCUUUCCUGGUCCCUGCUGUGGCUUUGCUAUAUUUGUCACAGCUUACACACAACUGUCAGUGCUUUAGAACCAAGCCAUGCCUCCAGGGAACCAGGAGCACUUGAGGGAGGGGACAUGGGGUCAGGGUCAUGCAAGGUGCACAGACAGUUGGGUCCACAGAGAGUCGGUGCGGCUCGGUGAUUCGUUUCUCCUAAUUUGCUACCCUCCUGUUCGCAUCUCUGAAGAGGAGGGCUUCCCGGAACUACCGUUUUUGGGUCCAGGACCAUCCCGUUUUCUCUGAAGUGAUGCUCUCCACGAGCAUUGCGGGAUUGAUAGUGGAUGUUCUGAAACCCGUCUGCUCCGAUUAUUGAAUUCUGCCCAUGGAGACUUCCUGGGGCUCUGAAGGAGAGGGAAUCUGGGAUGGGUUUGCUUUAUCCAUGAUGACUGUUCGCCUCUGCUCAGGGUCAGGCCAGCCCUUCCCACAUGCCCCCACCUCCUCCAGGGGCACCCACAUCUGAUGCUUUCAGGCUUAAUUGAGCAUAAGUUUGAUUGGCAGUGUCUUCCUGGCCCUGCCCUCAUGCCCUGACCCUCAGUGUCCCUUCACGCCCAGGUGUGCUGCUGGCGGGGAGGACGUGCUCGUCUCUGGUACCUGAAAAGAAGUUGCCCAUGUUAUUUUCGCUUUAUAUGUGACGAAACAAACAUGGUGCACUUCUUUUUCGGUAUCAAAUCUCUCCUUGAAGAGCCCCCAUCCCUGAUGGGACCCCUGAGCAUGGGACCUGGGGUUCCCACCUCUCUUGGUACGUACAUGGAGAAUUUGUCCCGGCAGCCCCUCGGUGACUCUGCAUGUUGCUGGGCACAGGGACCAUGCUCAGUCCUCGGUCCACGCCCACCUCUCAGAACAGUGCAGUUGGUGAGGCCUCAGUCACAUGCCAGCUCUGCUGCCAGGGAGGCUGGGGAGUUGGCAAAUGCUGUGUUCCCCCAGCAUUUGAGAAGAGUUCAGAUCAUAGCAGCUGAGAAAAUAAAUAAAUAAAUAGGGGCUGGGCACAGUGGCUCACGCCUGUAAUCCCAGCACUUUGGGAGGCCUAGGUGGGAGGAUCACCUGAGGUCUGGAGUUGGAGACCAGCCUGAUCAACAUGGAGAAACCCCAUCUCUGCCAAAAAUACAAAAUUAGCCGGGCAUGGUGGCGCACGCCUGUAAUCCCAGCUACUUGGGAGGCUGAGGCAGGAGAAUCGCUUGAACCUGGGAGGCGGAGGUUGCAGUGAGCCGAGAUCACGCCAUUGCACUCCAGCCUGGGUAACAAGAGCGAAACUGUCUCAAAAAAAAUUAUAUAAAUAAAUAAAUAAAAGGAAGCAGCUGCCACAACAAGAAAAACAGAGAAGCAGCAAAGAUCACCCACCCGAUGCACGGAGGGGACGUGAGGGCGGGCCACCUGCUGGACUGCCGCCCGAACCCCCACAGGAGGACUGACUGGGGCAGCAACAGAGGCAGGAGGCGGUGGGCAGGAGGCGGUGGGAGAGGAUUUAUCAGAGUGGUGAUUGGCUGGAGGCGAAUCCUUCCAGCUCUACUCUUUCCAAGUGCCAAUGCUGCUGUGAGACACGUGCUCCUUGGUCACCAACAGCAGAGAGACGUCGGUGUCUGCCUCCAGUUAGCAGCAGUGAACAGUGGCAGAUGGCAGAACGCACGCCUCCUCGAAGACACGGCUGUCCGGGUGUCCGGUCCCCACGUCCAGUUGGUCCUUGGGCCAUCUUCCUGGAGGAGGGGCCUUGGUCCUGGAAGAGAAGAGAUGUUUUCCCAGUGUAUUCGUUGUGUUUGUGACGGGCCACUCUUGGCCACGCUCUUUUCUGUAUUAAAUUCCACUUGAUGGCAGAGGCUGUUUGAGCUGGGAGCUUUAGUCCGCAGCUCUCUGGGGUGGCUGAUGGGUGUUGCCCAGAGAGCCUGCAUGGCAGCUCCAUGGCCACCUGGUCCUCUGAGCCUCAACAUCCCUCUCCCCUAGGAGGGUUUCCUGGAGCUCUGCCAGCCGGAAUUAGAGGCUGUGGGAUUGCUGUCUGGGCUACACUUUGGUAAGAGGGAGAGGUUGUCUGUGGUUCUUCCCUUUAUUUACAAUGAAAAAUGUGGCGCACUUCUAUUUGAGAAUCAGGUGCCAUCAGCAAAGCCCAGAUCCCACUUCUGGGAGGUGAUGGUAACGGUGGUCCAUUGGUGGCACUGAGACUGUGCUGGCCUCAGCAGAUGCCCUUUGGACAGCGGGCGGCUGUUCCACCCACCCCCUGGGCUCUAUCCUCCCUCCAGAGAUCCUUCCGGUGGCAGAAACACCUUUGGAGAAGCAGCGGCAGUAUUCAUGUCAGGAAAUUUCAUCGAGAAAGGUGGUCCAAGCUGUGGCCUGCACAGGCAACCCAUUUUACUGAUUUGAAUGCCACCCUUCUAAAAGAUGGGGUGCCCACAUCAGGGAAGAUGUAGCUGUGGGAGCAGAAGGCAGGCCACACAGUCUGUACACACAGGCUCAUGGACCCUGAGCCUGAGGACCUCUGGAGGGGCCACUGGUCCUGAGUCCCCCGUGGAAGGGGAAGCAUAGUUGUCCGAUGACAUGACAUGGACAGUUCUCUUUCCACCAGAGCCUCGUCUCCCCUUGAGGAGGGCCUCUGCUCUCUGCUGCUUAUGUCAGGGGAGAGUCACUGUUGCCUCCACCAGCUCAGGUACGUGAGAGGGGGGCCUCGAGGAGAGGUUGAGUCUCCGGUGGUGCCUGUCUCUGUGUGUUAGUCCUUUCCGGCUGUUCCCUUCCAGGAGGACCCCACGGCUCCCAGAAGAGAGACAGGACUGCAGAAGCUGGCCAGGAAGGGUUGGAGGAGGCUGCUGGUGAUAGGUUCACUCGGCGUGUGGCAGAUAGCCCGCAGUGGGUCUCCUAAAGCACUGAAGGCCUCCUUGAGGGACUCGCCGUACAUGGUGUCAAGUUCAGGAACGCGACGUGGGUGUCUGGCAGCCCCUCACCGAGGGUCUGUGCGCAGAUGGUGGAACAGAUGGCCAGCACUUGCCUUUAUUUCUUCUUUUGAGAACUGAGAAGUUAUUGAAUGAAUCACCAUAUAAUCCUGUUUCCUAAGGUAAAUCUAUACGUAAAACGUCAGGUCCUACACCACCAUUUUCUUCUUAAGAAGUGAACACAGAAGUGUGACACAGUUUUCGGGUUUUUAGAAGAAUGUCAAAAUAGACAGUCUUGUCUCUUGAUUCCCAAAGCUUAAACUCUAAAAGAAUAGGGAAAACACCGGAAAGAAAAUUGGCCACUAUGUGAGGAGGGUGGGAGGUUUUAUGAAUACAUGGUAGGCAUGCUGACGUUUUAGUAUGUAACUUAUUUUAAUAUGUUUAUUCUAACAUCAAUUUACUUAAAAAAUAACGGCCAAGGCUGGGCGUGGUGGCUCACGCCUGUAAUCCCAGCACUUUGGGAGGCCAAGGCAGGUGGAUCACCUGGUCAGGAGUUCGAGACCAGCCAGACCAACAUGGUGAAACCCUGUCUCUACCAAAAAUACAAAAUUAGCCGGGCACAGUGGCGCAUGCCUGUAAUCCCAGCUACUUAGGAGGCUGAGGCCCAAGAAUUGCUUGAACCUGGGAGGCGGAGGUUGCAGUGAGUUGAGAUGGCGCCACUGCACUCCAGUAUCUCAAAACAAACCAACAACAGCAAAGAAAUGGCAAAUGUCUGUUGGCUUGGGAAAGUUAGAAUUUCUGGAUUUUCCCAGAAAGGGAGACUGCAGGUCUCUGAUCAGCCUUCAGACCUGGCGUCCCGUCUCCUGCCUGAUGGGUGCGGAGUUCCCCAGACUCCCCAGGGCGUGAUGCCUGGCUUAGCUUUAUCUUUCUUUUUCUGACAGAGUUUUUGCUCUUGUUGCCCAGCCUGGGUACCCUAGCCAGGCCCCUCAGGGAGGAACGGCAGCCCCUCAGAAGACACAGCGUGUGGGCUGACCUUUCUCCCAGCACGUGGCAAGCAGAGUUCCGUAACUGGCUGCUGCACCUAUCCCAGCUCUUCCAGGCUGCCUGUGUUUCAAUGACCAAAGUAAGACCCCCAAGCCCUGCCAGGAGCUGCUCUUCAACCGCGUGUCCUCCUCAUUCAGGGCCAUCCCAGCGAGGUCUACUCCUGGGGACGUGAAUGAUGUCUGGUCACAAAGAAUAUAUGUUUAUGACUCAGACCGUCCAAUUCCCUAACCAGCCACGUCCCACUGGUUCUCAACAGGGCCUCGUAGAGGCAGCCCCCACCUGGGGGAAGUGGCCUUGCUCCGGCUGGCACGUGCUUGUCCAUAUAGAUUGUCUAUAUAGAUUCGCCGUAUUUAUGACAAAUUGUGCUUGGGGGCUUCGGGGGAGGCUCAGCAAGCUGUGACUGCAGGGGACGGACUGGCUGAUGGCACACAGUGGUGUUAUCUGGGCCGCUCGUGAUUCGCUUGCCCAUAGGAGGAAUGCCUAACUCUGCAAGUGUGAGAGGUCGUGCUUUUCAAGUCCGAGAUUUUUUUGAAGCAAUACCAGCUUUAGAGAAUUGAGACUGGUGUAGGUGUGUGGAGUGUGGAUGGGGGGUUGGCCGUGGCGCAUACACUUUCCUUGUGGAGAAUGUCACCCGGUCCUCAGUACUGAAUCUGUUUUUGGGGGCUCCCUGGAGUGAUGGCAUCCCUGUGGGAAAGGGUUUGAGUCUGGGUCAUCAGGGGUUUGCUUUUGCUUUGGGAGGUAUGUCACUAUCUAGUAAGCCUCUACAUCCAGCCCACCCCAAAAAUGAUUUUUCUGGAAGCUGCCAUAAUUGUUUUUGGAGGGUGGCAGUGGUAGGGGCUGGUGGACACCGUUUUGCUGUCUCUCUGUUGUAUUUAAAGAGACAUUGUUUUUCACCUGUUUGCCUAUUCCUCAGUCUGUCACACCGACAUGAUCAGUUCUGCUGAUUGAAAGUUCCUGAACACAAGCUUCACUUUCUAGAAGAUUCUUGGAGAUCCUCCUCCCUCCAAGAAAUAAAUACUACUUUGGAAAUGCUCUUGACCGUGAAAUCUCCAUUAGGGAAGAGACAUUAGGGUUACCUCCACCAGGGCGAGUGACAGCAGGCAGACCCCAAAGCUGCUGUGCCUGCGUAGGAGGUCCAUCUCUGGAUGUGAAGAAGCCGGGGCGGGCCCUGCGCUUCCCACACGAGACUCACAACGUGUUCACCUGCUUCCGUCACUUUCUGUCUUCGGUGAAUUGUGUUUGGGUUUGUGCUCUCCAGGUGUGCUCCAACUUUUCGCCUCUAAAAGGUGGAUGUUCCUUCUAUGCUUACAGGAUUGAUGGUUAAUCAUAGAGGAAAAUCCGCAUUUUCAGAAUCUAAAGUUGCUUUGAAAACAUUUCUGAACAUUUCUGAGAGAAAGGUUAGCUCCCACCCCCCACCCCUGCAGAGAGUGAUGGAAGGUGAAUCCCAGAACCUAAGCUCUUGUUAACAAAGUCUGUCCUGGGACACGGGUCCUCCGCAGGGCUCAUGUCACUGCCACCAACCCAGGAGGCCCCUGCCGACUGCACCUGUCCUGUGCUGUCUUUAAUCUUGAUAGAUGGUGCUUAGGUUCAUGCUUUCCAGGACUCAAUCCUUCUUUGGUAUUUAAAAGGUGGAUAUUCCUUCUAUGUUUAUGUUGUUUGUGGUUAAACAUAGAGGAAAUUCCACGUUUUCAGUAUCAAAUGCUGCUUGGAAACAUUCCUGGACUGAAACCACCAUCAGGGAAGAGACAGUAAAGUUACCCCCCUCCAGGGUAAGUGGAAAGUCAGUGGACCCCAGAACAUGUGCUGAAUUUGUGCCAUGUCUGUGGACCACCCGCCUGUCUUGAGGAGACCCCUGUCACGAGCCGCCCGCCCAGCCGAGCGGCUGAGCUCUGUCAUCAGUCUCUCCAUGGCGGCCAAACGCUCUGUCGUCAGCCUCUCCAUGGCGGCCAAAUGCUCUGUCGUCAGCCUCUCCAUGGCGGCCAGAUGCUCUCCUCUGUGCUAUGACUUUGUGUGUACAUAGGUUCGUGCUUUCUGGGAUGAGAACUUCUUUGGUAUUUAAAAGGUAGAUUUUCCUUCUAUGGUUACGUGUUUGGUGGUUAAUCAUAGAGGAAAAUCCACGUUUUCAGUAUCAAAUGCUGCCUUGGGAACAUGGCUGGACUGAAAUCACCAUCAGGGAAGCGAGGCGGGGCUGAGCCCUCCUGGGUAAGUGGAAAGGUGGUGGACCGCAGAACAUGUGCUGAGUUCGUGCCAUAUGUCUGCUGACCAUCACCUUUAGAAGCCCCCUUUCGCUGAGGAGCCAGCUUGGCGCACAGGCCGUGGAGCGCUGUGACGGCCACGCCACGGGACUGAGAACGAGUUGCUUUGCUGUCUUGCUUCCAUUUUCCAUGAACUGCUCUCAGAUGUGUCCUUUCCAGAGCCCAGUCCUUCUUUGGUAUUUAAAACGUGGAUAUUCCUUCUAUGUUUACGUGAUUCUUGGUUAAUCAUAGAGGAAAAUCCAUGUUUUCAGUAUCAAAUGCUGCUUUGGAAGUGUUUCCUGAAGAAACUGUAGGGCCUGAGUGGGUGCAGAGAUGGUGGGCUGCACGACCCGCCCAGAACCAUCUUGAGACACCAGCGAACAUGGUGAAGAUGAAAUUGUGGGUCCUGCGGUUCCAGUUCUUUCGUGGAAGCUCGUCUGCCCCAUGGGACUUCACUUCUGAUGACUCAAGCACAGGUGUGCGUUUUCCUGGAUGGAAGCCUUCUUUGGUAUUUAAAAGGUAGAUUCUCCUUCUAUGAGUACAUUAUUUAUGAUUAAUCAUAGAGGAAAAUCCACGUUUUCAGUAUCAAAUGCUGCUUUGAAAACCUCGGAGGACGUGAAGUUGCCAUGGAAGAGGGGACGCUCUCUGUACCCCUCCCGGGGACAGGACGGACGGGCACAGAACUGUACUUUGUGUGAAAUGCGCCGUCAGCUUCUCUGCUGUUCCCUCUCAACCCUCAACACAUACAUAAUGUGUUGUUACAAGACUGUGUUCUCAGUAUCACCUCGCUGACCUUGAACAAAGUAUGUUCUCUGUGUGUUUAACCAUGUUUGCGAUGCGUUUUCUGGAACGAACCUCUUUUUCUGUGACUAGUUGUGCCUUAGAGAAUACCCGAGUGGGCUGUCAGUUUCAGGAAGGGGCACAGCUUCAGGGGCUAUGGAAAGAAUAGAUGUGCCGUUCACACCCUGGUGUGCGCUCCCACCCUGCGAUCCCCUCUGUGUAUCUCAGGCUUGCUCCUGGAGCUGGUGCCAACUUAGUCACAGUGAAGAUGGCUCUCCUGUCACGGCCGUCAUUUGCUGCUUGAGGAGAGGUAAUCCCUCAUGCAUUUGCUUGACUUGCAAUGGUUAUACAAGGGCAAACUCUCUCUGGGGAGCAAAUCCUGCCUGGGAAGGCUUUUUGGGAACAAGGCUGACUCUGGCAGUCAACAGAACUCACUCCUCUGUCCUACAGAGACCGCUGCCACUGUUGAUGAGAAUAAGAAAGCUCUGUUUUUUUUCUAAAAAAAAAAAAAAAAAAAAAAGAUGGCCAGGAUAGCCCUGGGGUGCGGAUGGCUGACCGCAGGGCAUGUGCCUCUUUCUUGCUGUUUGUGACCUGGUUCUCUGACCCUCCUCAUCUCAUGCGUCCUUCCAAGAACUUUCUGGAAGAGAUGGUGACUUUGGAGCUGAUGUAGGGUUUUCUUUUCAGAGUACCCAUUCUGCUCAGAAAAAAGGGCCUCCCUUGGCCGGGCACGGUGGCUCAUGCUUAUAAUCGUAGCACUUUGGGAGGCUGAGACUGUGGAUUGCUUAAGCCUGGGAGUUCAAAAGUAGCCUGGGCAACUUGGAAAAACCCGGUCUCUGCAAAAAAAUACAAACAUUAGCCAGGCGUCAUGGUGUGCGCCUGUGAUUCCUGUACUCAGGAGGCUGAGGCUGGAGGAUCACUUGAGUCUGGGAGUCAGGAGGUAGCAGUAAGCUGAGAUCAUGCCACUGCACUUCAGCCUGGCUGACAGAGUGAGACCCCUGUCUCAAGAAAUAGAUAAAAAAAAAAAACAAGCAAGAACAAAGGGCCUCCCUUGAUGGGCCCUGCUCAUCACAAAGCACCCGUGGGCUGCUGCUCUGGCAGGUCUGCCGAGGCAUGAGGCCAGCCUCUGGGAAGAGGUCUUGGGGCUAGUGCCUCUCCCAGACACAGGAAAGAAUGGUCAUCGGCCAAGUCAGUGCAGAGUUUAGGUGUGGGUCAUCUGGUCUACCCACUCUCUGUACCCAGCCCAUCCUUGGAGGGACUUUUGGACCUCACUGUCCAGUUGAGGGAAGACCAGUCCACAGGAAGGAGGCCCCAGAGCGCCCAGUGUGGCUGCAGGACCUGCUGCUGGGACCUCUAAGCCUCACUGCUCUCUCUGCAUGGGUGUUCUUUAGGGACCCCUGCCGAUGGGAAGACCCUUGGAUUCCCGAUGUUAGUAUCUGUUCACUCAGAAAGCGUUGGCCCCUGAGAGUCUCAUUUUCUUUUGGAAAAUCUUGCCCUAGAUGAAAACUUUUGAGUGAUGAGUAGCUGCUCAGGUGGCUUUCUGAAUACAGUGCCAAAUUCAGGAGAAAGGACACCUGUCAUAGUGCUGUCUUGUGAUUUGCAAAUGGGUGGCUGAUCACGGAGCGUGUUGGACUUCUGUUUCUCCUUUUUCUAUAAUGAUGCAUGUUAUUGCAUCUUCUAACCUCCCUUAGCCAGUGUUCACCAGGAGGACUUCCUGGAGGCAAUGGCUUUGGGCAGAGGCAGAGGUUGUUCUCCCAGGGUGUUUCUGCAGGCCCUAAAGGGAUUUCGGCUGUUUUACAUUUACGUUAUUUCAAAUGGUACAGGAUUGCCUGUUUUUGGUAGCCAAUCCUGUCGAAAAGACAUGCUGGGAAAUAAAGCCAACUGUAUGGCUGAAACACCAGCGUGCAAGGUGCAGGGCCCAGCUCUAGGUCAGCCGGAUAAGGCUGGUCACUGGGCCCUCCCUCGCGGUCUCAGGCCUCGCAGGAGGACAUGCCCACUCUGGCGAAGACCCGGCGCGGUCCUUCCCUGCUCUUUGAACAACUGUCUGAGCCACUCUUUGGUACUUGAAGAGAGGAUACCCUUGUGUGUUCACUUGAUUAAUGGCGAAUAUACGGGGGAGACUCUUCUUUGCGUAUCAAACUCUGUCGGGGAAGGCGCUUGGACCCCGCUCGUCUGCAGGACAAAGCCGCGAAUCUCAGCUCCUCUCAGGUACGGCCUGGCUUCCCUGUCCGGGAACGUGAGCUUGGCUGUGAUCCUGGCUCUUGGGUUCUGCCUCCGCCCUCAGUGCUGGUUCUUCUUGUGGACUCCCUGGAGGCAGUGGGAGAGGAGGGUUUUUCUGUGCACACCGACUUUAUGGUGGUUUGCUUACUUAAGGAUAAAACACACGUGGAUCUGCCUCUCCUCGACACCAAGUCAUACCCGGGAGGCUCCCUGCUUCCAGCACACACCUUGUACCUCUCUGGACACGUGGAUGGGUGGUGGAUGGUGGAGCACCGAGCUGUGCUGAGCUGAUGCCGCUACUCACUUGCUGCUCCCCCGAGCUACCACUCCCUGGCAGUCUCCAUCCCUGAGAGAGUGUCAGCCUUGAGGGAGGGACGUGGAUGUCAGGCUGUUCUAAGGCAAGUGACUGGCAGAGCUUCUUUCCUGUGUCCUCUGGGACUGUCGCUGAACUCCAGCGGCCAGUCCUUGGAGCACAUUGUCCGGUGGAGGCGCACCUGAGUGUGCCUCGGGUGGGUGGCAGUGUUUGGUCUUCAGGACUGCUUUGUCCCUAGAGUCUGACACUGGGGCCCUCUUUUUGUCUGUUUCGAGGCAGGUACGGGGACAUAUUCUUGGAUCUGGUCAUCUCGGAGACCACCAGCCUCAGAGGAGAGACAGUGUCUCAGCACUCUUCAGCUCUGGGAAUGCCUGCAGAUGCCUUCUUCUCUGGCAAGUCCAUGUCUUCUGGGCUAAGCCCUCGCAGCCUGUGCCCCCACGGAGGUGAUGGCUCCACUGUCCAUGCAGCCUGUGGGUAUUUGAAGCAGGUUCACCCAUGCAUGCUGAGUGCAUUGAUGGUCAUGCCCACUCGCUCCCUUGUUUAGAAGCCAAUCUCGCCUGCAGGGAAUCCUGGAUGUGCCACCUCUCAGGGCCAGGCCACAGCGUGCAAGGUGCAGGGCCCAGCUCUAGGUCAGCCGGAUGAGGCUGGUCACCGGGCCCCUCCCUCACGGUCUCAGGCCUCGCAGGAGGACAUGCCCACUCUGGCGAAGACCCGGCGCAGUCCUUCCCUGCUCUUUGAACAACUGUCUGAGCCACUCUUUGGUACUUGAAGAGAGGAUACCCUUGUGUGUUCACUUGAUUAAUGGCGAAUAUACGGGGGAGACUCUUCUUUGCGUAUCAAACUCUGUCGGGGAAGGCGCUCAGACCCCGCUCGUCUGCAGGACAAAGCCGUGGAUCUCAGCUCCUCUCAGGUAUGGCCUGGCUUCCCUGUCCGGAACGUGAACUUGGCUGUGACGCUGCUCCUGGGUUUUGCCUCCGCCCUCAGUGCUGGUUCUUCUUGUGGACUCCCUGGAGACACUGGGAGAGGAGGGAUUAUUUCGUGUGCACCGAGUUUAAUCGUGGUUUGCUUUGCUAAGGAUAAAUCACAUGUGGAUCUGCCUCUUGUGGGCACCAGGUCAUAUCCAGGAGGCUUUCUUAUCCUCAGCCUUAGAAGGAGACCUGGCUUUAGCACCAUUUCAAGGGUAACACAGGAGUGGGGGUGGACCACAGAGCACUGGCUUUGUCUAUGCUGUUUUUGAUCCUGGUAGGCCAUCUCCAGGAGGGCUUCCUGGGGGUGGUGUUGACCUUGGGGAAGGGGCUGAGGUGUGCUCAUCGGUGCUCAUCAUGAUGCUUGAGUGUUCAUGGUCCAGCUUGCAGUUCCCAGGCUGAAACUGUAAGAGUGGUUUGUUUCUGUUUGUCAUUUGUGAUCACCCAUGAAGGCACCGCUGGGGAUGAGCCCUAGGAGCUGUCAGCCCUGCACCAGGUGCGUGAAUGUGGGAGGUCAGAGGGCACCUCCUUCUGCCUCCAUGUCUGUGCCCUCCCCUCUGACUGCUGGAUUUCUGCUCACACCUAGGAUGGCAGCCUGGGAAAGGGGCUGUGGUUCUGUGUUUGUGGAGACACUCCCUGGGGCGAGGGCUGCCAGCUUUUUACACCCUGAUUGCCAUGGGGGUCAUCUGGAACCGAGGCCAGUUUCAGGAAGGGCCUUCGCAGAAGCCUCAGCCCUAGAAAAGUGAAUGCCCUGCUGGAGACAGGUGAGCACCAUGCCUGGGUAAUGAGUCCCACCACCUGCCACCUGGACCAGGUGGCUCCCACUCCUCCCCACUUCUAGAGGGAGAGGCCACUGAGGGGAAAGGACUGUGGGUUGGCUUCCUCAGUUACUCAGGGGUACAUGGUUUUGAUGAAUGUUGACCAUGAGCUCUUUCUUAGCCUGGCUUCAGGACAGGGUGCCAGCCUCUGGCAAGGGUGGGGCAAGGGCUGGCAUGGGGAGUGACACUGGUGUCAACGCCUCUGUGAGAUGGGUGAAGGAAUGGUGACCACAGGGUCUUUGCUUCAUCAGGGGCAUAAAUUCAUCCAAUCUCUGGACCUCGGUGCUGAGUGCAUCUGUAGGAAAACUUCCUGGAGAGGUGCCCACACUGGGGAGGAGAUCGUAGUCCCACCCCAGGGAGUUCCCGUAGAAAGUGAGAAGCUGAGUUCUGUGUGUGCCCAGGAAGGCCCGUGGGAUGGCUCUCCUUUUCAGGAACAAGUCCUAAUCUGGAGUGAUGCCUGGAAAUGAGGCUGAUUCUAGUGAAGGGGGGCUGGCAUCUGCCCCUUCCUAGACCCCCUGGGAUGGAGAGCUGACCGGUGGGCACACAGCCAGCAGGCGGUGUUUGCCACCUGGUCUGCUGAUCCUGCGUCUCCCACCUCCCCCACCCAGGAUGAACCCCGGGAGACAAGGCCGGCCCCGUGAAUGAUAGCAAGGAACCUGCCCAGUGCUCUUGUUUGGUACUUAAAGCGAGGUUGCCCUUUGUAUAUUCGGUUUAUUGACAUGCAAUAUACAAGGGCAAGCUCUCUGUGAGUAUCAAACCUUGUCUUGGACCCAGCCCACACUCAGCAAGGGAUGCGGUAUGUGUGUGCAUGACCGUGUGUAUCCGUUUUGUGUGUGGCAAAUCGCUCACGGGUCCCCACGUCACAGAGAGGACUUCACAGGCACAUGAGAGACUUUAGGGAAGGCAGUGGCCUCUGGGACAUCUCCUUUCCUGGUUAAGUGUGGGUGGGCUGAAAGCAUGUACGACAUGUGUGGUCUGGGUCCCUGCUUCCUGAGCGGGCAGUCACCAGCCUGGGCUGAUGGCCGGGGUGGUGCCGGUGCAGGCAGUGGCUUUGCGGUCCCCGCUGGUACUCGGUAUGUGAGUGUGCAUGUUCUGCUUGGGGUGUGUGACCCGGUCCACUAACCCUCAGCAUCUAAUUCAUCCCCAGGACCGUGCCUUGAAGACAUACCAAGUCCACCCAAGGCAGCGGCUUUCCUUUCCGUGCUAACCUUUGGUACUUGGAGAGUGGUUAUCCCUGUCCUGUUCGUUUUGCUCAUGUCGAAUCGUACAGGGUCAUCCACUUUUUCAGUAUCAAGAGCGCAGACUCUGGAGCCCGAUUUCCUGUGUUUGGAUCCCACCUCUGACAUUUACUAACCGUGCGACCUUGGGCAAGGAUCUCAUCGUGCGGUGCCUGUGGUCUCACAUGUCAAGGGGAGUCACAUCGGCGUCUACCUCAUGGGGCUGCCGGGGCUGAACCAGUUAAGACUUGUACAUGGCUGGGAGCAGAGCCCGGUGGUCAGCGCUUCGCAGGCGUAGCCAGACCCUUGUGUGCUGUGACACUGUCAUUGGUGGUGGUGGUGGUGGUCUGACCACUAAAAUCUCUCCUUGAGGUGUUGGAACAAUGUCAAGACAGGGAGGUCAAGUCCUUCGUCCGGUGUGGAACGGACUGUGAAGCCCCGAGCGUGCACCGUGUUGAUGAUGGGCAUGGUGACACUCUUGAUGCUUGGCAGCUAAGCUGUUCUCAUGAUGGCUUUCGAAACACAAUGCCACAUGCAGUCGGGGUCAGCAGGGGUGCCGAGAGCAUUUUCUCUGUUUAAGAGAGACAGUCCCUGGAUUCUUGACCUCGGCCGCUAUCCACAUGUUUAAGGACUCUUGAGCGAGGAUGCCAAGCUGAAUGAGGAUUCUCUGACAUCUUGCUUCCCUGGUGCUUAAAGAGAAGGUCACACGUGGUGCACGCAUUGUGCCUGCCUGUGUGUGUGUGCGCACGUGCUGUGUGUGCAUGAGCGCAUGCGUGACUGGGUUUGCCACGUAGCAGUCACCAUCCAACCUUGAGCCGAAGACCUGGAGGUGCUGGUGUUCCCGUCCGUGCCGCUGUUUCAUACCUGAGGAGAAAUUAUCCUUGAUGUGUUCGCUUUAUUUAUGAUGAAUCAUACAAGGACAAUUUCUCUUUGAGUAUCAAAUCCUGCCUCGGCAGACUUCCUGGACGCCAUGACAAGUCUCUAAAGGGAUGCACGCAUCAGCCCUUCCCAGGGAUCCACGCGUGGGUGGGGAUGAGGGUGCGUGCAGUUGGUUUGCGCUGGGGACACUUGUGCCCUAACCUCAGAACCUCGGAGGCGGGACCAGCUUGGCAAGCGGCCACCGGGCUCCUUGGUGCUGCCAGGGAUUUGUAUUGGCCAUGGGUGUGUGUUGUGGGUGACCCAGCGUUCAGGCGACUUAUCAAAUCCUGCUUCUUGGAGGCACUUCUUGGACAUGAAGCCAAGCUUAGGGGCCGAUCAUUGGGGCCAGACCCCCUUUCCCUGCCUGAGAGUGUGCCCGACCCCCAGGCGUGGGCUUGACUCUCAGUGUGUGAAGCUGACCUGCUAAUCCUCAUUGUCUGGACUACCUGAGAAGAACUUUCUGGAAGAGACGCCAACUUUGGAGAAUAUGCCCAGCUCUUCUUGAAGGCGCUGUUCUUUGGUGCUUAAAGAAUGGCUGUCCGUGGUAUGGUCUCUCUAUUUAUGAUGAUUAAUAUCGGACAACCAUUGUUUUAGUAUCCAAAUUUGCUUCAGAAAUUUUUGAAAGCACAGUGCUGACUUCAGCGAGGGGACGUCGGUGCCUGCCCCACCAUGGAGUGUGACUGUAUUGCUGACCUGUAAUCAUGAAUCCGGUGACCCCAGAAUGCAAGCCACCAGUGUGUUUCCUUGGACUAAUGCUAGCUUUGGGGUGGAGAUGCCACUUAGGGGCUUGGUGCCAUAUCGUUUUAUUGGAAGAUGUUCACAAUUAUUUCAUCUGUCUUUCUCUUCUUGUUAUUAAAUCUUAGCCAAGAGGAAUUCCUUGGAGAGAUGCCAGGGUCAAACAUCUUUCUAGAUGGAUGGUGGACCUGGGCAUCUAGGUCCAGUCUCUCCCAUCUUUAGCCUUCAUUCUGAGCGUGAGAGACUUCCUGUAGGGGAUGCAAACGUUAGUAAAAACGCAGGACUUUUCCUGUUACUGCUACUGCUUUUUGGUAGCUCCUAAGCAGCUGCCUGUUGGGUGUUGGGAUUAUUCUUGGCGGAUGGCUUCGUGACUUCCUUGGGAGCUGCCAUAUCUUAGACAGACUCUCAUGGAGUAAGUUGUGAUGGACAGCACCUCUGGCGUGUGUGUGUGUGUGUGUGUGCGCGCGCACAGGCGUGCAUAUGAAUUGUUGGCUAGAGUAGUGUUUCUCAGACUUUAAAAAUGCUCCUAAGAUUUUCAUCACCUAGGGAUCUUGUUAAAAAGCAGAUUCUGAUUCAGGGACCAAGAUUCUGCAUUUUUAGCAAGUUCUCAAGUGAUGCUAAUGCCGCCGGUCUGUGGACUUCCCUCGCAGCGGUUCAGGGCUGGAGAGCAGGCGCUUCCCUUGUGAGGCGUGUCCCCUGUCUCCCCACACGCCAUAUGCCGUCCUUCACGAGAGCAUGGCUCAGCAUCAACCUGCCGCGCUUCUGUUUGUGAACAAAGGUUAUCUGUGACGGGCUCACCUUCACAUGCAUAAGUAUCAUGAGAUGAUUCUUUUUUAAAAUCAAAUCAUGCCUCAAAGGGCUUCCUGGAUACAGGACCUGCCUCAGGGAGGGGCCGAUGGUGUCGACCUACUGCAGGGAGUGUCGGGUGUGAGUCAACAGUGAGCUUAGCAUUAUUGAUGUCCUGGGAAUCCUGUGACCCUCCACUUCCAGGCAGUCCUCGGGAGGAAAUUCCAGGAACUGAGACCAUCUUUGAGGUAGGGACCCUGUCUUCAGGGAUCAGUGACACCCCGUUUUAUCGGAAGCAGAAUUCUUCAUGAUGGCCCUGCUGUCUCUGACGUGUGUUUGUCUGCUGCCUUCUCGUCAUCGAAUCCCAUCUUUCGGGAACCCCUGGAGGCGGCUUUUCUAUCGUUUUAACAGAACCUGCCUUAGAAGUCUUUCUGAGCAUGGUUCCAAUGGCAGACUUUGGAUUUCGGUGUCGGAGCCGUCCGGGCUCUGAGACUGACGUGUGGGAAGGGAUGGCUGACGCCAGCUCCUGUGCUUUCUCUGCAGGAUGCGAGCACCUCCCUCCCAACCCUGGGAUUCAGCUCAUCCUGAGAAGAAUCUCCUGGAGGCAAAGACAGCGGUGGGGAAGAGGCCCUGGUUUCGUUUGAGAACUAUUCGAGGAUAUUUGAGGAGAGGUUAUCCGUGUUAUGUUCGCUUCAUUCGUCAUGAAUAAUACAUGGUUAACCUCUUUUUGAAUAUCAGACUCUGCCUCGGAGGCCACCCCACAGGAGACGUGAGAGUGUGUGCCUUGUGUGAGCUGAGAGCCCCCGCCCCGGCUCCGCGCUCCGGCAGGGAAGCUUCCUGGAAGUGAGGCCGGUGGGGGGAAGAGCCCUGGGUUGCUUUGCUGUGUUUGCUGUGAACGCGAUGUGCUUUCGCUAUUUAAAUGAGGUGGCCUCCUCUUUGCCAACCUGUGCCUACCCCCAGCAGCUGGGCCUGCAGCCUAGCUACAGGGCUAGGUCCCGCCUUGGGAUGGACCCUCUGGACCCAGUGCUUUCAGGGUGGCUUUCUGGGGUGAGGACAGGGUUUACUGCUCCACUGGGACACCUGUGGAGAGGUGACUUCCUCCAUGUGGACUCCUCUGAGGACAGUCUGUUUUCCAGGCUUGGAUCUGGCCCGGGGUGGCUCCCUGGGUGAAGCUAACACCUCCGCAGGUGUGCGCAGGGCAGGCUGACUUGGGCUCUGUUCCUGCUCCUCACCCAGGUUACUGGCCCAGUGCCCACUUCCUCCUCAAGUCAGCUUCCUGAGGCUCUGCCAGCCGGCCUGGUGGGGUCUCCUGUUCCUCUGCUUGGCGCUCAAAGACACUGGCACAGUGCCAGGUUCCCUUUGCUCCCUCCUGAGGGAGACCACGCAGCUAAUGACUCUGGCUCUGUGCUGCUGCCUCGGAGGGCUUCCUGCACUCAGCACCCAGUUUGGGAGGAGAACAUGGACUCUAGCAUAUCCCCCGGUGAUGGAGAAGGGAGGCUGUCCCUGAUCCCCAGUGUGGUGGAUGAUAUGGUUUGGCGAUGUCCCCACCCAAAUCUCGUCUUGAAUUCCCAUGUGUUGUGGGAGGGUCCUGGUGGGAGGUAAUUGAAUCAUGGGAGCGGGUCUCUCCCGUGAUAGUGAAUAAGUCUCACGCGAUCUGAUGGUUUAUAAGGGGGAGUUUCCCUGCACAAGCUCUCUCUCUGCCUGCUGCCAUCACGUAAGCCUGACUUGCUCCUCCUCACCUUCUGCCAUGACUGAGGCCUCCCCAACCACGUGGAACUGUGAGUCUGAUUAAACCUCUUUCUUUUGUAAAUUACCCCAUCUCGGGUAUGUCUUUAUCAGCAGCAUGAAAACGGUCUAAGAAAGUGGAGGACCGUGGCGCCAGGCUCCGGCCCCUUCAGGAUGUGGUCCCUGUGUGGGACAGCCUCCCGGAGCGGCUAUAAAACCUUACUGCCCUCUGCCUCGAUGGCUUUGUCCUACCUGAGGAGGCCAGCGUGCUGGGGUCCCUGCGUGGAGUCAGUUCAGGAUGGAUGCCGCAGGUGCUAGCUUUACAGUAAGAAAACUGUCAGCUUCGCCUGACGUAUAUGCACAGAGGUGACGCAGGGACGUGAACUUUGUGAAUGAAUGUGCUCCCUGCACCACUGACCCAGAGAAUUCAUCCCGCCCUCAGGAGAAGCCCGGGAGGUGCUGCAGGCUCUGGCCGGGGGCGGAGGCCGCUGUCCUUAGUGUCGUGGCGUAGGGCUUGCUGAGGAACCGACAGAGUGCUCCUGUGUUGUUUGUGACUAAGACCACACAUUCCUGUGCGGUGGGAGAAUGUGUGGGGGUGUCCCACAGCCAGAGUGGAGACUUGUGUCGGCACCAUGAUGAGGUACCUGGGAAGGGUCUGCUGACGAUGCCCAGUGUCUGCUGGUCUGAGCAGCUCGUCCUCGGAGGACUUCUGGGCAAGACUAUUUCAGUGCUCAGCCCCACUCCGUGUCCCAGGAAGAGGGAGGGCUGGAUUGAUGAUACCUAUUAAAUGGCCCAUAAGUUCUCAUCAUCCAUGCAGCCUGCCUGUGAGGGCCCCCACAGAAGGGAGGGCAACUCCAGGGAAGGGAUCCUGCCAUCAGCUCCAGGUCACAGUCCAGGAGGUGCUGCUGGGCCAGAGGCCAAAGGGCAAACUGUCGAGCCAGGUCACAGGCUUCCCUUGUCCUUGACCCUCAGUAUCCAGGCUACUUACAAGAGGAGGCAGGGGGACUCCUCUGCCUCACCUGGAGAGGUCUUGUCCACAGCAGGUUCCCUCAACAAUGCUUCCUCUGUUACAAAUGCAACUCAGCAUCUCCUUCCUGGACAUAAUUGCAAGGAAUUAUUAAAGGGGACAUUGGUGUCAGUGCCUCCCCAAAUACUUGAAAGAAUGGCCCAUGGCAGAGCCUGUGCUUUCAUUAGGAGUAAGCCUCACAGUCCCCCAAGCUGUGGCCUCCAGGUUCUGGAGGCCUCGGGGGCAGAGCAGCGCCGAGGCUGACCUUGGGGCCUUGCCUGGGUUUGUGGCUCAUCAUGUUGGACUGCUGUUUUUCAGGACAGACUUCCUGGACAGGUUCCUCAGCAGGACUCUGACCUAGGGACAGGGCCCUGUACGUGAUAGGGGAAUGGAUGGUUGAUCAGAGAACGUGCAUUUUACAAACGAUGCAUGUCAACUGAUCCACAGUCCCUACCUAUCCAGUGACUUCUCUGGAGGCCACAUCAGCCCGGAAGAAGAGGUGGUGGUUUCCUGGGUGGUACUGUUAUCUGGCACUUGCAAGGACCUUCUCCUUGCUGGGUUUGCUUUCUCUGUGCUGAGUCUCAUGAGGGAGGGCAGGUGCCUUUUUUGCAUAUGGAUCUUGCUGGGGAAGCUUUCUGGAAGGCAUUCUUGCCCUUUGCCCCUCUCUAGGGGUAGGAAUGCAUGGUUGGCUUGACUGACAGUGUGCACCCCUCGACUCUCCUAACCUGUCCCCAAUUCAUCCUCAGGCAGACUAGCUGGAGGGAAGGCGGACUCUGGUGAAGAUGUGGGCCGUCAGCAUCGGGCUUCGGUACUUGAAGAGUGGUUAUCCCUGCUGUGUUCGCUUUAUUUAUGACGAAUCAUACAGGGACAUCCAGUUUUUCAGUAUCAAAUACUGCUUUGGAGGGCCUCCCGGACAGCGUCCCGCCUUCAGGGAGGAGGUCCUGGCUUCACUUCCCACCCAAGGUAUGUAUGUGAACCUCCCAUCGCAGUGCACGAGCUUCCUCACGUGCCACACCUGUGACCAGAGUCGAUUCUCUGAGCAAGGUGGCUGCUUCCAAGGCUGUGAUUUUCUGGAAGGGGCGUUGGUGUCUGCACCACAUUUUGGGGGAGGUUGACCAGUGAGAAGCCCAUUCACACAAGACGUCUGUUGCCUGCUCCAAGUGAUGCUCACCCUUGAUAAGACGAGUCCCUGGAGACAUGCUGGUGACGCAGUGUGAUUGUCACCAGCAGGACUGACUGAUACUGAAUGGGUCAUCGUUAUUGCAUUUGUUCUAGGGCAGACUUCUUGAGUGUCGUGUCUUGGCGGGGAAGGGUUUCUGGAAGUAGCCCCAACCUCUGGGGAGACGUGGCAUCCACGUCUUUUCGAGUCUGUGGAGAGUUCGUUGAGCAGUCCGAGCUUUGUUCCGAGGCAUCUUCCUCUGGUCACUCUCCCACAGGAGUCCCGUGUCCUGCCUGGGGCCAGAACUGCUGUUGAGAGGGUUGGCUGCUUUGACCACCAUGGUUUUUUUUAAUAAGACUCUCUUUAAAAAAAAAAAUCCGAUUCUUUUGUUUUUAGCAUAACCGCGUGGUUCAUGGAUGGAUCAAAUAGCAAGGAACGCCUCGGCCAUUCCAUAAACUGAGGGAGCGCACGCUCUACUCCAGGCGAUUCUGGACCUUAGCACAGAGCAGUGCAUGAAUCAAGUCCUUGCUCACAUGGACUUUACAUGCUGGUGGAAGAGACGGUUGAUAACAUGAAUUAGGAAACCUGAUUUUGUCCACUGCUAGAUUUAUGGAGAAUGGGAAGGCGGGGUACAGUGACAGAAAGAGGUAAAAGCAGGUGGACAUUUGUGUUAAAUAUGGGGGUCUGGAAAGCUCUCUCUGAGGAUGGGGAUGGGAAUGCAGUGGAGUGGACCAGAGGAAGAUCUGGGGUAGGAGCACUUCAGAAGGAGGGCAGGGCCCAUGAAGAGGCCCCUGGCAUCUUUAAGAAAAAGCAAGAAGGCCAGUGUGAUUGAACUGAGUGAGCUGUUGGGAGUUGCUGGAUCUGAGCUGGGAGAGGCACGACUCCAGGUUUUAUUCUGAGUGGGAUGGGGGAUAUGAAAGGGUUUUGAGCAGCGGGGGGAUACAUGGUCUGUGUUGGAAGGAUCACUCUGACCACAAGGGUGUUGAUAGAGACUCCACCAAGGGCAGUGACAGGGAACCCACCAGGGGGCUGGCGUGCCUGAGCCAGGCAGUCUCUCCAGGGGCACCUGCAGUGGCAAAAGGGGGCUGUCUCUGGACCUCCCCAGUUCCGUGGGCCCUGCGGGAGCUUGGCCAGCACCUUGAUGUGUCUGAUGGAUAAUUGAGAGUGCUCUGUUGAGAAGUCCAAGCCCUGUUCAGAAACCCCGGGGUCCACACACCACAGAGUGCUCCUGGCCUGCGACAAGUGGCCUCCCUCUUCUCAUUUCUAAACCUUGCGCGUGUGGAUUCAACUCCAGGGAAGGGAGCCUGUGCCAGCACCCCUCCAGGGGAGGUGAGUGGAGGGUUGCCCAGACUCCAGGGUGUUCCUGGGUCAUCUGCCAGCUGCCUCACUAAUGCUCGGUGUCCACUCUGUCCACAGGAUGUGGUUGGCAGCCACGGCCCUUGGAGAUGUGGAAGGGGACCGCUGUCUGUCUUGUCUCUGCUUUGCCGUGGUACUUGAAGAGAAGUUGUUCGUGGUGGAUUCGCUUUACUUAUGACGAAUCAUUCACGGACAACACUUUUUUCAGUACCAAAUGCUACCUCUAAGGACUUCCUGGACACAAUGGCAGCUUCAAGAAAAAUAGUUUUUGUGUCAACCAUGUGGAAAAGCCAAGAAUGGAUGGCGGGCCACGGACAGUGCACUGACCUAGCUGUAAGUCACCUGGCCCGAUUACCCGAGCAUCCCAUGCGCCUGUAGGAGGCCUUUCCGUGGGUCUCGCCACCACUGGGGAAUCAGCUGUGCUUCUGUCACCAGCGUCACCUCACAAGACUUUGAAGAGAGGCUCCCCAGGCCCCAGACCGACUUCCAGAAGAGAUGUUGGUGUCAGCACCGUCCAGGGUGUGUGACUGGUUGACCAGAGGGGCGUGCACUGUGUUCACCCUGUGGGCCACCUAGUCACCAACCCUCAGCAUCACUCCCACCCCAGGAAGACUUUCCAGAGCACCCACCAACUCUGGGGAAGUGGCCAUGGACUUGCCGUGGCUGCUUGGAGCACCGGGAUGACACGUGCUCUUGGGGGUGUGCAUUUAGUUCAAAUGCAAUGAGUCAGCCCUGUAGCUUCUUCACCACUGCCACAGCCUCCUUGAAGCAGUGACUUCUGACGAUAUUGGAUGCCAUGUUAUCUUCUGUUGAGGGACCUGAUGCUGGCCAGCUUUUCUCCCGGGUGUGUGACUGGACCCUUCUUCCCACAGCAUGUGCUGGUGUAUUGGGUCUGUCACCUCGCCCUCUAAUACCCAGCAUCCUGUCUCUCCCUAGGAGGCUCCAUGGAGGGGAUGUGGCUGUGGGAAGCAGCCAUGAUUCUCCUGUCGAGAGCUAGCGAGCUAUGCAAUGGCUUCCUCUCUUGACCGGGAGGACGAACUCCACCCUCACUGCUGGGGAGAAGGCAGCGCCCUCCGUACGCCCUUCAGGUAAGUGCGCCUCGGGUGAGCAUGCACUUAAUGUGGGUGUAUGUCACUCGGCUCGGCCCACUACCCAACGCUGUCCCACCCGUUCCUAACAGGACUCCUGACAGGGGCGGCCACCUCUGCACGACAGGCAAUGGAUUUCUCACCAGUGCUCACUAUGGUACUUGGAGAGAGGCUGGCCGUGAUGAAUUCGAUCCUUCAAAGCGAGUCAUACACGGCUCUCCUCUCUUUUAGUGUCAGAUUCUGCCUCGGAGGGCUUCCUGCGCCAGUGCUGCCUCCCAGGUAGGUUUCUGGAUGUCUGAACCUGAGGCAGGUGCUUUUCCUGAGGAUGCAUGUGACUAACCUACUAACUUGAGAGUCCAGGCUGACCCUAAGACAACUUCCUGGGGCACUCCCAACUUCAGGAAAAUUGAGAGAGGUUGUUGGGAUGCUCUAACUUUUAUUUAAAAGUUAAGAUUGAAAUACGCAUGGCUGACUUCUUUUUUAUUCCUAUCAAAUUCAACCUUGGAGUUAAAUUUUGGGCAUCUAGAAGCAUCUUUUAUUAGCCCUUGGGAUACAGAAGACAACAGAAACAGGACUGUGACCCCUGGUUUACUAACCCAUAGCAGCCCCACACCCUCCAGAGAAUUCCUUUAAGGGGAUCCCAGGUUUGCUAAGGAGGCUGUGCUCAGCCUGCUUUUGCAAAUGAGUGUGGUUUGCCUCAUUUCUAAGGACUCAUGUGCCGCUGACAUCUUUGAAUUAUUAAGUGUUACCUGCAUGGCUAGCUGAGCACAGGAAGUUGUGUUUCUGUGCAUACUCAUCCCAGGUUGGUGAACCUGGGCUUGGCCGGAGAGCCUGGGUUUGAGCCACCUGGUCCACUCAUCCUCAGGAUCCCGUCCACCCUCAGAGGCCACUCCCAAGCUUCUCAGUUUGUGCAGAAGGUGCAGGGAUGCUGUGAGCAGCGCCACCUCAUGGUAUUCGGAGGGAGGUUGUCCGUGGUGAGUUCGCAUUACUUAAUGAUGCCCAAUACACGGUCGACCUCUCUUCGGUAUCAAAUCUCACCAGCUGUCUUCUUGGACCUGAUGCCAAUGUAGGGGACACCAUAUUCAUGUUGGUUCCACACCAGUGCACCUGAACAUGUGUGUGCCCCUGGAACUAAUGGCUAGGUGCUGCUAGCAACCCAAAUCCUCAUCCAGUGCAUUCCUGGGGAGGAAGCAUGUGACCUGUGCUCAAGACCUCCAUGACUGAGGAAGUGGUGGUGCCCAUGAUGCUUCUGGGGUUUUGUAUUUUUUUAAAGAAAAACAAUAGAUAGUUCUCUCCUUUUUCACUAUUAAAUCUUGUCGUAGAGGAAGGACUUCCUAGAUGUGCUGACAAAUUCAGGGAAGGGGCAUAACUAUUUAAGCAUUUGUGGAGACUCACUAAAAGGGCAAUUCACCACAUAUGUUGAUCCAGAGGCCACACAAAUUCAACGAGAGAGGACAGUUGCAUUUUCAAUUUCUUGUUUUUCUUUUCAAAAUGGAUAAUUUUCUACCUUAUUACCAUAUUUAUAAAAAUGACACAUGCUUAUGAUAAAAUUCAAGUGAUGUGGAAACAUCUAAAUGAAAAAGAGGGAAAAUUUCCCAAUUCUCUGUGCACCCAGAAAUAACCAUUAAGGACUUUGGAAAUUUCAUACACCUGUCUGAGCAUACAUGGAAUUAGAAAAGACAGACAUAGAGAGAAAAUAUUUUACAGAUAUGAGAGCUCACUGUACCUAAUCAUUUUAUUAAAACUGCUAACCAUGGGCCAGGUGUGGUGGCUCAUGCCUAUAAUCCCAGCACUUUGGGAGACUGAGUCAGGCAGAUCACAAGGUCAGAAGUUUGUAGACCAGCCUGGCCAAUAUGGUGAAACCCCGUCUCUACUAAAAGCACACCCACAAAAAAAUUAGCUGAGUGUCAUGGUGGGCACCUGUAAUCCCAGCUACUUGGGUGGCUGAGGCAGGAGAAUUGCUUGAACCCAGGGGCUGGAGGUUGCAGUGAGCUGAGAUUGUGCCACUGCGCUUCAGCCUGGGUGACAGAGUGAGACUCCCAUCUCCAAAAAAGAUAUAUAUAUGUAUGAACUAUAAUUUUCCUUGAAUUUCUCUAAAGAACAAGCUAAAGGAGAUUGAAAUGAUUGAUAUAUGUUUCUUGCUUUACCACCAGAUGUAGCAACUCCUGAAAGAUCCCUAUAAAAUUAAGAAAAAUGAGUGUGUAAAAAUUAAGUGAUUGGGAUUGUUAUGUUUUUUAACUAUUUCAAUUUCAACCCUAGUUCAGAAAGAUAAAGAAGUCAGCAUUCUUAUCACUUACUACCUCUUGCUUUUUUCAGUUAUACAUUUUAGUUUUACGGUAUAAAUAUCUGCAAUUUAUCUAGAUCUAUAAUUCUUGCAGGUGUUUAGCCAUAGUUCUAUGUUUAAGUGAAUUCAUUUCUGACCACAGGUUUUUUGUUUGUUUUUUAAACUGAGGUUUCUCCAUUCUUUAGUUUUUAACUUUAAUUUAUCUCUCUAUGGAAUUGUCUUAUGGUUUCUGUGAGAAUAGCUCAUAGACACUACUCUUGAGUUAUGUGCAUUUGAGAAUAUGUAUCUCUUCCUUUUAUACACAAGGGACAGCUUAGCUAGGUAUAAAAGUCUCAGCCUACUUGGUUUUUCUCAGAAAUUUAUUAGAUAUUGUCCACUGUCUUUUGCACUGAGGUUUUCACUAGCUGUUUUAAUGUGGUUUCUCCAUGUAGCCUUUACAGCCCCUGCCAGGCUGAACUAUUUCAUCUAAUGAUCUUCACAAACCUUUUUGGAAAGACUUUGGGGUACUAUACUCCAUGAGGUCUUUCAGCUCUGAGAAUGUCUGACCAUUGCUUUUACAUCUUUUCUCAUCUGUCAAUUUUUUUUUUCAUUCUGUUCUAUUUGGCCUUUAUGAUUUCAAAUUCUUUUUAAUUUAUUUAGUCACUUUAAAGAUAUUUAUUGUGUACUUUCUCUCAGCUUUAAAGAUACAAGCCCCUUUCUUUGUUGAAUUUAUUGACUCUCAUGAUGGUGCUUUUCUUCAUGGUUUUUGUAACUUUGUGUUGUGAGGUUACAUCAGUUGAGCACUAAGGUGUUUUUGUUUUGUUUUAAUCUCUAGGCACAUGAGUUUGCAUUUGGUGCUGCCUAGCACCCCAACAAAUUUAUCAGUUGGUACCACUUUUCAACUCAUUUUGUUGGCUUAAGGAGUCCCAGAUGUAUGGCUGACAUAAAUCCUCAUCAUAUCUUUGUCUAGAGCUUUGUUAUCUCACAGGAGACCUCAUUCUAUCCACCUCCUAGAAGUGACAAACCCUCUCAUCAUUCCUAGCCAUUAUAAAAUGUUCUGGUUCCCUUUCCAUUCCUGGAUCGACCUCUCCUGGACCCAAAGUUGUGUCUUUUCAUCCUGCUUAUACUUGAAGUUGACUACAGACCCUAGCAGCCUUUAGCCAGCACAGCACCCCCUAGGUUCCUCAGUAGCAGGUUGCACACAUGUUGCUCUGAACUGAUUCUUUUCAUUAACACCUGAGGAUUUUGCCUUGCAGCUGCAUGUUUAUUUGGCAAUUGAUUUUGGUCGUGGUUGCAUUUUAUCCAAUACUUCUCAACAUCUGUCCAAGAGAGGGUUCCCUAUCAGCUCUUGUUGCUGGGGUGGAGCCUUUGAGAUGAAUGAUCGGUAAACUUGGCAUGACAUUCUUGGCCCCUAGUUCCUUCCCUCAGAACUUUGUAAACUUUGCUCCACUGGUUUCUGGUGUUAAACCACUGCUGUGGACAAGUGUGUGGACAGCUGCUUUCCCCUUGGAUGGGUAAAUUAUUUUUUUUCUGCUUAGAUUUCCUAAUUCUUUCUUUAGUCUUGAAUGUUGGUGACUUUACCAGUCACUAUUUUUAUUCAUUAGUUUUUCUGAAUCAUAUUAUGCCUUCUUGAUGAGUAGAUUUAAUUGUUCCUUUGUUUCAAGGAUUUCCUCUAUUUUUUGAGCACUUUUCUACUCCAGGUGUUGGUCUUUUUUUUUUUGUUGAAAUAAUCUGCUUUGUUCAUUUCAUGAUGCAUUGAAGGAGCAGAAAGUCUGUCAUCUGGCCCCCUUGCUGCCAUCUCUGUCUGCAAGUCAGCCUGUUGUCAUUUGCACUGUGCAUUUGUCUAUUUAAAACAAUCCUACCCAGAUACUUCCUCCUCGGUGUCAGCUUCCACCCUGGCAGGAUGCCUCAUUGGCAAUGCCCACUUCUGAGGUGGUCAUGGGAGUCAGCACCACUGGCCAGGUAUGUGAAUUUGCUGUUAGCAAUGGAAGAUUUUUAGAAACCAUAUACACUGUAUCAUUAAUCUCAAGCAUGCAAUCUAUCCUUAGGAAGGUUCCUGGACAUUAUGCCCACCUUUGGGGAUGAGGCCAUGAUUCUGAGGUCAGUGCCAUGACAUAGUCUAAUACAGUUUGCAUUUAAUGCUGUUUCUUUAUGAUCAAUAUUGUAAAGUCAAUCUCUUUGUCGUGGACUCAGCUUUGGAGGGCUUCCUGGAAACAAGGCCUGUGUAAGGAAAGGAUCGUUACUGUCAGCCUUGAUGCUAAUGUGAGAUGAGGGAAUGUGUCCUGCUACUAUCAGAAUGCUGAGUUUCUGUGCACUUGGCCCCUCCACCGUCCGGCUCCCUGACAGUGCUGCUUAGAUAUGCACCCACCUCCACAAAGGUGUUGAGGUCCAGUUGGCUGCAGGGUGCGGGAUGGAAUGGUUGACUACGGGACGUGUGCUUUCUUCUCAACCCUCUUGCAGUCAGUCUGCUAACCCUCAAUGUUCCCUGUCUCCUAGGGGGACUUCCUGGAGGAGGCCAGCUUUGGAGAAGAGACACUGACACCGAGUCUGUGCUAGCAUGUGGUACUUGAAGAUAGGUUAUCCGUGUUGCCUUCGCUUUACUUGUGACGAAUCAUACGCGGUUGACCUAUUUUCCAGUGCCAAAUCCUGCCUUGGAGGGCUUCCUGGAGCGGAGUCACACUUCAGGGCGUGGCCUUGGUGUCAGCUCCUCUCCAGGGUAAGCAAAGGGACCGUUGACCAUAGCUGACCCAGCAGAGAAUGUGCUUUCCUAAGGCUGCGUGCCCCGGCCCUAACCCUGUGUGUGUCUCAUCCUUGGGGGGCUGGGGGGUGGUUCUAGAGAUGGUGCCAGCUUUGGGGAAGAAGUGAGAAGGGGGGCUUUUUCUAUCUGAGCUACUCUGUGUUCCUGGCGGAGAGGUCUUCCAUGAUGUAUCCAACUUAUUUUGUGACCAAUCCUACACAGUGGACCCUUUCUAAGGCAUUAAUUCUAGCCUUAAAGCAUCCUCGGGUGGUGCCGAGUUUAGGAGCCAGAACUGGUGUCUGAACACCUGAACGGAUGGCAAAGCUGACAGCGUGCACAUGCCCCUCGGCGGGUCGUGCACCUGCAGGCAUCCUGCUUGCUCGUCCUGAUGGUUUCCUCAGAAGUGCCAGCAGUCCCCUUGUCGGCUCACUGUGUGCUUGACAAGAUGCUGUCCUGCUCUCUUCCCUGCUGCCCUCUCUUCACAUAUCACAGAUGGUGCUCUGCAGACGAUCUGCUGUGGCACGUCCCUUCCUGAAUGGCUUCCUGCGAGAGGUGCUAAUUGCAAGUACGGGAUGCAGUACGGCCCGGGCUGCAGAGCAUGUUUCAGGGGUGGCGUGUAACCGCCUUCCUGACUCGCGGUAACCCGCCCGCCCUCAGGGCUGCUACUGGGAUGCACUGGAAGCGAGCGCCCAAGUCAGGUACUCGAAUGGAGGUUGUCCAUGGUGUGUUCAUUUUAUUUAUGAUGAGUAUUACAUGGCCAAUCUCCUUUCGGUACUAAAUUCUUCUUGGGAAACGUCACAGCCGGCACCUGAGCAGGGUAAGGAAGCGGGUCACCUCCACGCGGCAAGCGCUCUCUGUGUGACUUACAUCCCUUGGCACACGUCCUGGCCAUCAUUAGGAGGAAUUCCCAGAAUUGAUGCUGACAUUUUAGGUGACACCGUGGUCUUUUAGUCUCUUCCUUGAAGACUCGUUAGUGAAUAAACCACAUUUAGUCAACGUUUUUAGGUAGGGCGGCACAUUUUAGGGAAAGGAACUCCUUGCUGAAUGGAAGGCAUCCACGUUACCCACUCAAAUAGCCUAACCUUUGGGUGACCUUUGGGAAGCGGCAGGUGGAGGGUUUCCUCGGCAGUGAGAAUGUUGCUGUUUAAAGACACGUUUCCGUGGCACGACUCGGUUAUUCUGAGUGCAAGACGAGAAUUGUUCAUGGCAUUCAUUACUACCUUAGGUUGCCAGCUGUGCGCCCUGGGCCAGCCCCUUCACCUGUCAGCUCUCUGGGCCUCAGCUUCUUCCUCUGUAAAGCAGGGUUAACGGCGGGGGGGGGGGGGUGGAACCGUGCUCCAUGAGAAGCAACUAGACAGCGUCUGGCAGGUAGCAGAGCAGGAUAAGCAUUGUUUCUGAGGAUGGUCAUUAUAUGAAUCUUACGUCAUCUUCACUCAUUGUCCUCUCCCGGUAGAAUGGAAGCUCCCUGAGGGCAGAGUCCUUGUCUGUCUUGCCUGGCGCUGUGUCCCCAGGUGUGCACAGCAGGUGUGAUGCCGAAUGAAUGAAUGAAUGGAUGGCAGUGUGACCGGUUUCCUUGGUUGAACUCUCUUUGAGGCCUCCUGGAAUGGAGUACAUGGAAGACAGUCACCUGAACCUAUGCUCUCCUUGUGACACAGCCCCACCCACCCUCUGAGGAUGCUGCACUGGAAGAGGAGUUACCAGCCUUCAGGUCGGGUCCUCCUCCAACCCUCUGAAGGCUGGACUGACCAUGGUCACGUGAUUUAUCAGCAGCACCCCCCUUUCUCUGUGUGAAAUCCCACUGUAGGGACUUCCAGAGGAGAUACCAGCCCUGGAGCUGAACCUGGGUGUCCCUGCUUCUUUAGGGUAAGUGACCAGCGGCUGGCCCGAGCCUGGGCAGACCCACGAUACAAGUGCGUUUGGCCUCGCCCACGCUGCUUGCUCCAGGGCUAUAGGGGCUGGUCCCUGACCAACCGUGUUCGGAUCGCCUGGGGGGCUCCUUAGAGGUAGUGCCAGUCAAGAGGGAAAGAGAGAGAGAGCAAGAGGGGAGAGAGUGAGCCAGCGAGCAUGCAGCUGGAGUCAGCAGGGAGGCCGCGGAGGCAAUGCCACUUUGGUGAAGAGGCAUCUUGGUGUUCUUGCCCGUGCUGACGUUUGACCCUUGAGCAGAGGUUGCCCUUGGUGAAUUCGCUUUAUUUAUGUUGAAUCACACAAAGGCAACUUUUGUUUGAGUAUCAAAUCCUGCUUGGGAUGGCUUCCGGGACCCAGCGGCAAGCUCAGGGGCAUCUACACCCCUCCCGUGAGCAAGAAUGGAGGGGGUAGACGUGGGUGGUCUGCCCUCUGCGGUGGAUGAGAACAGAUGUCCAUCAGAGAACACAAGCUUCAUUCAUGAUGGGGGCGGGGCCCCACGGCCCAGGGAGGAUGCUUCCCAUCCACAGGGCUUGAGGAUGGUCAGCUUCAGCUCUUACCCUGGACCCUCUCUCUUUACAUCACCAUUUUAGCUGUGUUAAUCCCAAAGACAUUUCAACGGCACCAGUUUUUUUCGAAAGAUAUUUGACCUUGUAGAUAAACAAAGAGCUCACACUUGACAGUGUCUGUGACAAGGCAGCAGCCCCAGACCUCCGUCGGGCUCACAAGCACUGCGUUUUUUUCCAUGCCUUUCCUCAUCUCUAUUUUUCUCUUUCUAUCCCCCAACCAAAUAUUGUUCCCAGUUUUCUCCUGGGUUAUGAAACAAACAGAGGCGAUCAGGAUCUCAUCCCAUUUGUAUUAAAUAAUAGUGAUAAAAAUAAUCAACACAAAAUAAAAUGAAAAACAGCUGAAACAGCACAGUGCUAAAUGUGUUCAAUUCACUACAAAUUGGCAGAAGAAUCCAGUUUUCUUGACAACAUUGCGGCUGCGACAUUUGACCUGGGGAAACAGAAAGCGACGUGGCAGCCACGGGAGGAAAUUCACGCGGGCGGCAGCAGCAAUCAACAGGAGUAUUUGAUACAGACGAGGGUACACUGAGGCAACCCAGUCUUCAUUCAGAUUUUCAAAUGGAAAAGAAUUGAUCCUAAUGAAAAUGAUUUGGGGAAAAUAACAAGGGAAAUAAAAGAAAUGAAAACAGCUCAGCAGCACAGUCGAAGCUAAACAGGGAAUUGGAUUAGUGUCAUGGAAUUCGCUCUGAAAAACACGUUUCCAUGAAAAUCAACGUUGGUAUAGUUCUGGUGAAGAUGAUUGAAUUUGUGUGUGUUCACAGUGGAGUGGGUGGGGUCAGGAGGAACCUAGGGUCAAAAAAUGGGAUACAGUCCCCCUUUAUGCAGGUGACCUUUUUUUGGUGCCCCCAAACCUUUCCGAGAGCCUCCUGGAGAGGCAUGCUGACUUCAAGCACGACAUGCUGGCUGGUAAGGCGUCCCCCCGGGGAUCUGGGUGCACACUGUCUCCAGAGCAUUCACUGCGUUAGGGACAUGCCUCACCUGGUCCAGUCUCUCCCGGUGUCCCUCCAUUCCCACGGAGGGUUCUAGGCGGGAUGCUGACUCUGGAGGGAAGCAGAAGGACCACUUGGUGGGGCUGGGUCUUUCAGGACAGUCACUUCUGUGAACCUAGAAAGUCUGAGACAGCUCUCCCUUAAUUUAGAAUGUUUAUUUUGCCAAGGUUGAGGCUACACCCGUGACAUGGAAGUCUUGUGGUCAAGGGACAGCUUGGUUUUAUACAUUUUAGGGAGACAUGAGGCAUCAUUCCGUGUAUGUACGAAGUCCCUUGGUUUGGUCUGCAAAGGUGGGACAAGUUGAAGGAAAGGCAGAAGGAGGGAGGGGGCUUCCGGGCCGCAGCGAGUCAGCGUCCCGCCUAGAACCCUCCGUGGGAAUGGAGGGACACCGGGAGAGACUGGAUCAGGUGAGGCAUGUCCCUAACGCAGUGAAUGCUCUGGAGACAAUGUGCACAUCCUAUGGGACAAAUGAUCCCAUCCUAUGGUGUUUCUGAUGAGCCUUUCCAAAGGAAGCAAAUCAGAUCUACAGCUAUCUCAGUGUGCAGAGGAGUGACUGAGUGCAAUGAGAGGCUGCUUUAUCCUAAGCAGUUUCCAGCUUGACUUUUCCUUAGUGAUUUUUGGGGAUCCAAGAUACUUCUCUUUGACACGUCCAAGGUGACUGCUUGGAAGCCAGGAACAUUCCGGGGUUUAGUCCUUCCUCAGACUCUGCCGUGGCCACCUCUCAUGGCUCCAGACUGGCCCCAAGGACAUGCCUUUCCUUGGUGCUGUAUGUCACUGGGUCACGGUGGCUGAGCCUUGUGUGGGAAGUCAUUCCGGAGGUGAUGUUUCCAAGGUUGAAACCCUCGCCGGGGAUGUGGAAAGGGCUUGUUUGCUGGCGUGCUUUGUUUGUGACCAGCAUUGCACAUGGGUCUCUUUUCAGAUCAAAACCUACCUGGAGAAUUUCUGGAAGCCGCAGCACCCUCAGGAGGUAGCCAGCAGCCGGAGCCCUCUCCAGGUGGCUGCUCUGCCUGGAUAAACCCAUCUUGACAGUCUCAGUCCUUGCCUUGCCACCAUCUCCUCUGAUCUCCUUUCCUGCUUCAAAAGACUCCAGACCCGUCCCGGUUCUCGGAGAAGACUGACUCCGCCUACAACCCAGCGGGCACAUCUUGUGCCAAGAUUGUUUACAUUCUGGUCCUGGGAGCCACGGGUCAUGGCCUGGUCCUCACACAGACCCACUCCUCAGCAGCGCCCAUCUGCGGCUUCUCCCACCUCACCAGGGAAGAAGGAGAGCCCUGGGGACAUGGAGAAGCCCCCAGCUCUCCCCGCCUCUUACAGAACCUCCACUGAGUCCCUGGAGGCACAUCGGUCAGCAGGGCAGGAGCAGCCUUUGCCGUGGCAUGGGGCGGGCUGUGCUGGGGAUGAGUGCCGAGUGGCUGUGGACUAAGUGGAGGAGCAGAUGCCCCUACCCUUCUCCCAGCUGGACGGCGGGACCGGGCAGGAACAGUGGGAUUCCUGCUCUUCGUUUUCAGACACUUGCUGUCAAGCAAUUUGAAUAAUAAAUACACAUUAUAAAGAUGUAAA